CUACAAGCAUUUACUAUAGCGAGGACCUGCUUUCACCCUCUUUGGCAUGUUUGGUUUCAUGGGAAAUGGAAGCAAUACUUUAAGGUCCAAACAUACUCCUCAGAUUGCGUAGCUUACUGCCUUCGUAGUCUCACAUGUAUUCGCUACAACUCAUUUAUUUGAUUUUUUUAUAGUGAAGGAAAAAAAAAAGAAAAAGGUUUUAAAUGAUAUACGAAAACAAGAGGAGGGGAUGGCGGGGCCGAAGAAGUAAGGUAGGGUGGUGGGGGGUUGGGGUCGGCCAUGUCCCUGGAGGACCUUGAAAGCUUUAGACCUCUACGGUUGGCUGCUUUCAUUCUCCUCUUUCCUACUUCAGGAAAAAUCUCUCUGAUUCAAGCUUUCUAGUUCCCGGCACCACAACGGCUCUCUUAAACCCUAAAAACCUCCCAUCAGUUCACCCUCUCAUGUUGCUUCACAACUAACACCUCUCUCCAAAAUUCCUCCCUCUCUCUCUACUCGCUACAUUAAAUUUCCCCUGUAAAGAAACUUCCCUCUGCAGAACCCUACUCCUGUUCCAUGCUCAACCACAUCUAUCCAUGGAGGUCUUUACUCCGAAAAUCUCUCAACCUCAGCCCCAUCACUUCCCUCGGCUUCACCAAACACUCAGUCUCUGCCGCCAAGCUCCAUGAUGAGUCCGCCGACGCCUCUAUCCCUAAUGACGCCGUUCGCCAAAUCCUCAUUGGUUUAAGAAGCUUUGGUGCUUCUAAGUUUCUCUGGGGGCAUCAUUUCCAAACCCUAGCUUCGGUACUGAAUACCCAUCAGGUUGAUCAAAUUCUCCUUAGUUUGAGAGUCGAUAACUCCGACUCUGCGCUUUUUUUGUUUGAUUUAUUAAGAAAUGAGUAUGGAUUUCGGCAUUCUAGGGUUUCCUGGUUCAUUGUUUCGCAUGUUGUGGCCCGAAAAGGACAGUCCAAGGAGUUGCGCCGCGUUUUAAACCAAAUGGUGGAAGAAGAAGGUUCUGGGUCUGCGCCUUCCCUUUGUGAGCUUCUGUGUAAUAGCUUCAGGGACUGGGAUUUGAAUAAUGUGGUAUGGGAUAUGCUGGCUUGUGCUUAUUCAAGGGCUGAGAUGGUUCAUGAUGCCCUUUUUGUUCUUGCUAAGAUGAAAGUCCUGAACUUGCAAGUUUCAAUAGCAACCUACAACAGUUUGUUGUACAACCUUAGGCACACUGAUAUUAUGUGGGACGUCUAUAAUGAAAUCAAAGCAAGUGGGGUUCCACAGAAUGAGUACACAAAUCCCAUCCUUAUAGAUGGUCUGUGCAGGCAGUCCAGGCUACAAGAUGCAGUAACUUUCUUGAGGGAGACCGGGGGGGAAGAGUUUGGGCCUUCUGUUGUUUCAUUCAAUGCCCUCAUGUCAGGGUUUUGUAAAAUGGGUUCUGUGGAUGUUGCAAAGUCAUUUUUCUGCAUGAUGAUUAAAUAUGGAUUACUUCCUGAUGUGUAUAGUUACAAUAUUCUUCUUCAUGGGCUAUGUGUAGCAGGUUCUAUGGAAGAAGCAUUAGAGUUUACAAAUGACAUGGAGAAUCAUGGAGUGGAACCUGAUAUAGUUACCUAUAACAUUCUUGCUAAUGGUUUUCGCAUACUUGGUUUGAUAAGUGGGGCUUGGAAGGUUGUUCAGAGAAUGCUGCUUAAUGGGUUAAAUCCAGAUCUCGUUACAUAUACAAUACUGAUCUGUGGGCAUUGCCAGAUGGGCAAUAUUGAAGAAAGCUUUAAGUUGAAGGAGAAAAUGCUUUCACAAGGUUUAAAGUUGAGUAUUGUCACAUACACUGUAUUGUUAAGCAGUUUGUGUAAGAGUGGACGAAUUGAUGAAGCAGUGAUAUUGCUUCAUGAAAUGGAAGUUAUUGGCUUGAAGCCAGAUCUUUUAACAUAUUCUGUUCUCAUCCAUGGCCUCUGCAAGCGAGGGGCAGUAGAAGAGGCUAUUGAACUAUAUGAGGAAAUGUGCUCCAAGAGAAUUUACCCAAAUUCUUUUGUAUGCAGCGCUAUUAUAUCAGGUCUUUUUGAAAAAGGGGCAAUUUCAGAGGCACAAAUGUAUUUUGAUUCAGUAACAAAGAGUGAUGUGGCAGAGGAAAUCAUUUUGUACAAUAUUAUGAUUGAUGGGUAUGCAAAACUUGGUAAUAUUGGGGAAGCUGUACGGUCAUACAAACAGAUAAUCGAAAAAGGAAUUUCUCCAACUAUUGUGACUUUCAAUUCCCUUAUUUAUGGUUUCUGCAAAAAGGGAAAGCUAGCUGAGGCUGUAAAGUUAUUAGAUACUAUCAAGGUGCAUGGUUUGGUGCCAACUUCUGUAACUUACACGACUCUAAUGAAUGGAUACUGUGAAGAGGGAGAUAUGCAUAGCAUGUUUGACAUGCUUCAUGAAAUGGAAGCAAAAGCUAUAAAACCUACUCAAAUCACUUAUACUGUAGUUGUGAAAGGACUCUGCAAAGAGGGGCGGCUGCAUGAAUCUGUUCAAUUACUCAAGUAUAUGUAUGCUAGGGGUCUAUUCCCAGAUCAAAUCACAUAUAAUACUGUAAUUCAAAGCUUCUGCAAAGCUCAUGACCUACAAAAAGCUUUUCAGUUACACAAUCAAAUGUUACAGCAUAGUCUUCAGCCUAGUCCUGUUACAUAUAAUGUUCUUAUUAAUGGCCUUUGUGUAUAUGGCAACUUAAAGGAUGCUGAUAGACUACUGGUUACUCUUCAGGACCAAAGUAUAAGAUUAACAAAGGUUGCCUACACAACAAUAAUCAAAGCACAUUGUGCUAAGGGUGAUGUACAGAAUGCACUGGUCUUCUUCCAUCAAAUGGUGGAGAGGGGUUUUGAGGUUUCCAUCAGAGAUUAUAGUGCUGUGAUCAAUAGAUUGUGCAAAAGGAAUUUAAUAACUGAUGCAAAAUUUUUUUUCUGUAUGAUGUUAACUCAUGGCAUUCCUCCUGAUCAAGAUAUUUGUUUGGUGAUGCUCAAUGCUUUCCAUCGAAGUGGUGAUCCCAAUUCAGUAUUUGAGAUAUUUGCUAUGAUGAUAAAAUGUGGCCUGCUUCCUGUUUAAAUCCACCAUAAAGCAAUGAUUCUUGUGAUUCUCACUAUAGAAAGAGCAGAUGUAUCAGUUGAUAUGGGAGUCUGGUGCACAAGACACAUGGCCACUGCUCACAAUGCCACAUCACAAUGGAAAGUUAUAGAAGACUUUCAAAAUUUCAAGCAUCUCAGCCCAAGAACUCAGUAGCACCAAUUUAUCACAAAUCGUUCAAGUAGGCGAUUUAACAUAUUCUGCAGGGGAAAAUUCUGCUCAUGCUUCCUUGUUCAGAAUGGUAGACGUUGGAGACUUGACCCAUUCUGCUCACCUGAAAAAAUUGCAAAAGGUGCCACAAAGGGGCAAAUGCAAGUCAAUGUGCAGUAUUCAGGGAUCAAAUGGGGAAAGGAAAAGAGGAAAAAGUGGAGCUAUCCUCUACAGUAUAUGUCAUCAAUAAAGUUAAUCAAACAACUCUCUCUGGAUUUGUGUAGACUUGGAGGCUAUUGACAUGUGUUUGUGCUUCAACACUGGCAGCUUCAUCCCUCGGACUUAUGUUCUUUUCUUUCUGUAUAAUUCACAGCAAGCACAAAGGGCUGCCCCCCCGAACACUUGUUUCACUUCCUUGCAGAUGCAAUGUGCCAGACCCUAAAAAAAAAAUCUACAACAGUCAUCAAUAGAUGCUGGGCUGUCACCUUGUCAUUCCUUUACAUGCAGCACCCGUGGCGAAGUACCCUCCUUUUGUACACUAGAUUAUCAUUGGUCAAAAAUCUUACCAAAGUUGCAGUCCCUAUGAAUGAAGACAAAAUUCUCCUCCCUUUGUGCCCACUAGAGUCCCCAUGAAAGGCCUACUCAUGCUCUACUUUGUUUAAAUCAACAAAGCAUAAACCUUAACUGCUUGGGGUGGGCUUUAGGAAACUUGUCUCAACGUGCAGCUCUAUCUAGUGCCAUAUAUUCUCUAUCAGAAUGUAGCCUUCCAGACUGAAGAAGCUGCUUGAGGACUUAGUUGAUGGUUAUCUCUUUGACUCACUGUGCUGCUGUGAAUUGUCAAAGAUUUCUGACAUCCAAGACAUCAGUUCUCUUGCUUCCUGCAAUUGCUUUUCGGCUUUGGUCCAAGCUCUUUUUCUUUUUGGUGAAGGAUCAUCCAUAUAGAUGCUUCAAGUAUUUCUUAUUUGAAAUUACAGCUUGCUUUUCUUUAAUCUAGUGGGAGGAUUUUAUGAAAUUUGUGCGUACAAUCACUAUUGUGAUGUUGUUUGACCAGGACACAAACAACAAGGCCCUGCAGUGCAACGAUUCUGGUUGGUGACUUGAAUCCUUUUUUCCUUCUUACAUGUUUUCUGAAGGUCAGACGCCUAAUGCCUUUUCUGAUUGCCUCAAUCGAAGUUUUUUGGUCUUCUUCUCAUCAUUGUAGUACCUUGAACUUGAUUUCAGUCACUACUUACUAAUUCACUAACAGAGAUUGAAUCAUUUUAGACAAAUUUUUAUCAUCUUGUCCUAAAUUGUCCGGGUGCUACCUCUAACUUCUUGUAGAUGCAAUCAUCACUUGUACUUUCUUGGUUCGCUAGCAUGUUGAAAAAGAGAAAAAAAUGAAGAUAAGAAAAAAACUGUGUAAACAAACAUGAAGACUGCCUAAUGCGAUAUGGCUUUCUUUAUGUAAUAAAAUACAUUAUAAAAUUGCAAACUUACUCCUCAAACUGACAUAAGACAUAAAUACUCUAAUAUUAUACUUUAAUAGGAAGCAUAGCCAAACUUGCUCCUCUGAACUUUUAAUAUAGUGUGACAGAUUAGUAUUCCUUCUUUUUAAUCUUCAUAUAUAUAUAUAUAUAUAUGCAUGCAUGUAUGUAUAUAUGUAUGUAUAGUUUUUUUUUUCUGAUAGACCUGUAUGUAUGUAUGUAUAUAGGUAUAUAAUGUUUAACUGAACCUAAGUAAUGAAAACUGACGAAUUAGAUCAUUUUCUUGGUUUCGAGCUCAAUUCAUAUUCAAUGUCUAUGUAUUGCUUCCCACUCUUGCAGUUCUGUCUUGAUUCAACUUGUUGCAAAAGAUUCCAAGGAUUUCAUAGUGUCCUCUUGUUCCUGUAGUUAUAAUUCAAACUAAUAAAAAUAAGUAAAUAAAUAAGUGGUAGUUUCUGUGCGUACCCUUUUACAGCUGGAUCAACUGAUACUUAGUCAUUUGGGUGUGACAAACUCAUGGGGAGUGUCUUAUUGCUUAUGGACACUAAGUCAUCUUCAGGUCACACAUGAGGCUCCAGUCCUUUUGGCUUCUUUUGAUUGAUGAAUUGAUGUUGUGAUUUCACUUAGAAGUGUUCUUGAACAUCCCCUGGAAAGUGUUGCCAAUAGGAUUAAGGGAAGGAUGUUGACUACCUUUGAAAUCUCAUCAAUUCUUAAAUUGCAAAAAAAACAGCUACAUGGAUUUAGAAGUUUGCUCAAUAAACUUGCCUAGUUAGAACACUUGAAUUUCUUAAUGCUUCAAUCAUUUUGAUGAUGGUCCCUGGUACCCUUGAAUGUUGAAGGGUAACAAUAUUAUUUUUGUGCACUUUUUGUCUCUGGCAAUAUUGCAACUAAGUUUUCAAUAUUUUGUGAAGCAUGGAAAUGUUGAGAAUUCCUUUGUUGAGCUAGAUCUUAUCAAUUGUGCUUGUUCCUUCUAAAGUUUAUUGGCAUUUGGACCCAAACCUAUGGCUACAUUGUGAUACAAAGAAUACUUCUCAGAUUCGAAUAACAGCUGAUGGUUCUAUUAUUACAUGACUCUGAUGGUUUGCCUUGUGAACCUGUAAAUGGAUCAACAAGAUAGCCAGUAUCAGGCCAUAAUUUAUCCAUGAUGUGGACAAAAAGUAGAUUCAUUUCACUUCUAGAAAUGGUGCAAGAAGUCUGAAGGCAGAGGAGAGAGCAAGGAGUAAUGGCAGAGUGCUGUCAACUUCCUACUAGUUUAAGUGAGGUUUCAUUCUUACUGUUGAAGCCAAAUUGUUGGAGUGUGCGGAGAAGUUAAUGAAAUUAAAGAUGAUUUGAGAGCAUAAGAUCUUUUUUGAGGAAUGCAGAUGUCAGAGAAGAUGAGUUAUGACACACAUGAUGUUCUUGACAAGUUGAUCCAUCACCUUGUGCAGUGCCCUCAAGGGCAUGGAUUCAUUUGUUCUCUCUGCAACAGUCUUCCACUUAUGAGAACAUUUGAAGCACACCAUGGCAUAGCAAGGACAGAGGAUAAAACAACUUGACUUGGUUCCAUCUCAGGUUGGAGAAAUACUUGAUGCUUUGGUUAUGAAUGAAGAGGGGUUGGUUCCAGUGGUAGGGUUGAUAGACUGCACCAGCCUAGAGUUGCUUCAUUUUUUGCCAAGGAAGCAGAUAAUCAUAUUUUGGGCAUUGAUCAGCCCAGAAAAGAGUUGACUGUGGAUGGUGCAAGGAGAGACAACUCACCGUGAUUACUUUUGAUGGGAUGUGUGGUAAUGGGCAGGACCACCCUUGUUAAGAAUAACUGUGAUGACCGGCAGGUCAAGAGCACCGAGUCCCUUGCUUAGAUUACUGUGUCACAUAAACCUAAUGUCAUUGGACUUAAAGAGCCUUACAGAGCAAAUAUACAAGGAUGGAAAUGUGGCUGCUCAUUCAGAAACAUAUUGCCAUGGAUAACGUUCAACUAAGGACUUGAAGGAAAGGAGGUAUUUGUUAUUCUUGAUACAUGGGGAAUAGUUGAGUGGAACAAAGCUUAUCCAGUAUCAUCGAUGCCAUGGUUCUAUUUCAACAAAGCUUUCCUCACUCUACACAUUUAGAAUUUGCGAAGAUUUCUCGGUUUAAUCAUUGUAAAAACAAAGAGAUAACUUGCUAAGAGUGUGAUAAUGAGUAUCUUUCCAUUGUUGGUCGAA